AGACGUCUACAUUAGAUACCCGGGUAGUCCCAGCCAUAAACUAUGCGCGUUAGGUGUAUCGGUGACCACGAGUCACCGAGGUGCCGAAGGGAAGCCGUGAAACGUGCCGCCUGGGAAGUACGGUCGCAAGGCUGAAACUUAAAGGAAUUGGCGGGGAGCACCACAACGGGUGGAGCCUGCGGUUUAAUUGGACUCAACGCCGGGAAGCUCACCGGAUAAGACAGCGGAAUGAUUGCCGGGCUGAAGACUCUGCAUGACUAGCUG
rnacentral:rRNA from 1 species